rnacentral:rRNA from 1 species
UGAACGCUGGCGGCGUGCUUAACACAUGCAAGUCGAACGAUGAACCUAGCUUGCUAGGGGAUUAGUGGCGCACGGGUGAGUAAUUUAUAGAUAACGUGCCUCCGAGACCGGGAUAGCCAUUGGAAACGAUGAUUAAUACUGGAUACUCCUUCUGGAUCUAAUUUCAGUCGGGAAAGUUUUUCGCUCGGAGAUCGGUCUAUAUCCCAUCAGUUAGUUGGUAAGGUAACGGCUUACCAAGACAAUGACGGGUAGCGGGUUUGAGAGGAUGAUCCGCCACACUGGUACUGAGACACGGACCAGACUCCUACGGGAGGCAGCAGUGAGGAAUAUUGCACAAUGGGCGAAAGCCUGAUGCAGCAACGCCGCGUGGAGGAUGACGCAUUUCGGUGUGUAAACUCCUUUUAUAUGUCAAGAAAAUGACGGUAGCAUAUGAAUAAGCACCGGCUAACUCC